AUCUACAGCCAUGCCACCCUGAACAAGCUCAAUGUCUAAUCUCAGAAGCUAAGCAGGGUCAGAUCUGGUUAGUACUUGGAUGAGAGACCACCUAGGAAGACCGGGUUCUGUAGGCA
rnacentral:rRNA from 1 species